rnacentral:rRNA from 1 species
CCUACGGGAGGCUGCAGUGAGGAAUAUUGGUCAAUGGGCGCGAGCCUGAACCAGCCAAGUAGCGUGAAGGAUGACUGCCCUACGGGUUGUAAACUUCUUUUAUAAAGGAAUAAAGUGAGGCACGUGUGCCUUUUUGUAGGUACUUUAUGAAUAAGGAUCGGCUAACUCCGUGCCAGCAGCCGGCGUAAUACGGAGGAUCCGUGUGUUAUCCGGAUUUAGUGGGGUUAAAGGGAGCGUAGAUGGGUUGUUAAGUAAGUUGUGAAAGUUUGCGGCUCAACCGUAAAAUUGCAAUUGAUACUGGCAGUCUUGAGUACAGUUGAGGUAGGCGGAAUUCGUGGUGUAGCGGUGAAAUGCUUAGAUAUCACGAAGAACUCCGAUUGCGAAGGCAGCUUACUAAACUGCCACUGACAUUGAUGCUCGAAAGUGUGGGUAUCAAACAGGAUUAGAUACCCGGGUAGUC